AGUGAACGCUGGCGGUAGGCCUAACACAUGCAAGUCGAACGGCAGCACAGUAAGAGCUUGCUCUUACGGGUGGCGAGUGGCGGACGGGUGAGGAAUACAUCGGAAUCUACUUUUUCGUGGGGGAUAACGUAGGGAAACUUACGCUAAUACCGCAUACGACCUACGGGUGAAAGCAGGGGAUCUUCGGACCUUGCGCGAUUGAAUGAGCCGAUGUCGGAUUAGCUAGUUGGCGGGGUAAAGGCCCACCAAGGCGACGAUCCGUAGCUGGUCUGAGAGGAUGAUCAGCCACACUGGAACUGAGACACGGUCCAGACUCCUGCGGGAGGCAGCAGUGGGGAAUAUUGGACAAUGGGCGCAAGCCUGAUCCAGCCAUACCGCGUGGGUGAAGAAGGCCUUCGGGUUGUAAAGCCCUUUCGUUGGGAAAGAAAAGCAGCAGGUUAAUACCCCGCUGUUCUGACGGUACCCAAAGAAUAAGCACCGGCUAACUUCGUG
rnacentral:rRNA from 1 species